GUAGGUGAACCUGCGGAAGGAUCAUUAUUGAAUUCUAAUGAAGAGUUUGGUUGUAGCUGGUCUAUUUAUUUAGGCAUGUGCACACCUCCCUCUUUCAUCCCACACACACCUGUGAACUUGUGAGACAGUUGGGGAAUUUAUUUGUUAUUUUUUGUAAUAAAAUGAUAAUAAAUCAUUGAACCCUUCUGUCUACUCAACUCAUAUAAAAUCAAUUUAUUUUAAAUGAAUGUAAUGGAUGUAACACAUCUCAUACUAAGUUUCGACAACGGAUCUCUUGGCUCUCGCAUCGAUGAAGAACGCAGCGAAAUGCGAUAAGUAAUGUGAAUUGCAGAAUUCAGUGAAUCAUCGAAUCUUUGAACGCACCUUGCGCUCCUUGGUAUUCCUUGGAGCAUGCCUGUUUGAGUAUCAUGAAAUCUUCAAAAUCAAUCUUUUUGUUAACUCCAUUAGUUUGAUCUUGGUAUUCGAGGUCUUUUGCAGCUUCACACCUGCUCCUCUUUGUGUAUUAGCUGGAUCUCAGUGUUAUGCUUGGUUCCACUCAGCGUGAUAAAUUAUCUAUCGCUGAGGACACUGUAAAAAGUGGCCAAGGUAAAUGCAGAUGAACCGCUUCUAAUAGUCCAUUGACUUGGACACUAUUAUUAUGAUCUGAUCUCAAAUCAGGUAGGACUACCCGCUGAACUUAAGC
rnacentral:rRNA from 1 species